GUGGGUACACAUGAACAUAUGAGCGUCGCUAAACCCUCACCCAGUCACCCCAAAACCUCCUCUCUACCCAAGUACGAGUACAAAACAAACUCUAAUCGCUGUAGAGAUCUAAAUCCCAGACCGAUACAGCACCGAAAGCGAUGUUAUCGGGCGUUGCGAGGUCCGUUCUCCGCUCCAGUGCAGCUAGAACCUCAGCGGCGGCAGCGAGGUUCGCUUCGGCGCCAAAACCUAAAGGCAUGCCCUCCUUCUCUCCCUUGCGCAAUUCCAAACAGAAGCCCCUCUCUCAUCGCCUUUUCAGGAGAUCACCUGUGGAGAUGAGCUGCAGUGUGGAAUCAAUGUUGCCGUAUCACUCUGCCACUGCCUCUGCUUUGUUGAAUUCAAUGCUCUCCGCCUCUCACCACCGCUAUGGUUGGACACUUGAAGAUUGCGAUGAUGAUGUAUGAUGAAUGUCAAGAUGGUUCGAGCAAAGUUUUUGUACAUGCGCUCUAAUACAAGAUGGAUGAUUGUUCUCUCUUGGGAUGCAGUGCAAUUGACCAUCGUUUUUCAUGGAUUUCAAAGGAACUUUCUUGGACUUGCCAGGGCAUUAAUAUCAUAAAUCAUAAUGUUCUUCAACCAUACUGAGGUUGUACCUUGUGGAGAGUUAUCAAUUUGCAUUCCCCAACUUCAAUUUUGAUAACUGUUUUACUGCAUUGCUUUCUGUAAUUUAUAUAUGCUGUUCAUGAACCUUUCAGAGAACUGAUUUACCUGCUUCAGAUGCUUUGUGAUAGGGGAGCUUAGUAGUUCCUAAAUAUUUCGUGGAGUGGUGACAUAUUUGAAAAUAAAACAGUAUAUUCUUGGUUA